GGCUGGGUAGCUCAGUGGAUUGAGAGCCAAGCCUAGAGGUGGGAGGUCUUGGUUCGAAUCCGGCCUCAGCCA
rfam:Monodelphis domestica cont3.071994, whole genome shotgun sequence.